rnacentral:rRNA from 1 species
AGAGUUUGAUCAUGGCUCAGGACGAACGCUGGCGGCGUGCUUAAUACAUGCAAGUCGAGGGACGAAACCGGGAUGGGUAACCAUUCCGGCUGAAACCGGCGAACGGGUGAGUAACACGUGGGCAACGUGCCCCAGACACAGGAAUAACAACGGGAAACCGUUGCUAAUGCCUGAUAACCCCUGCGCACCGCAUGGCGUGCAGGGCAAAGCUCCGGCGGUCUGGGAUCGGCCCGCGUCCUAUCAGCUUGUUGGUGGGGUGACGGCCUACCAAGGCGAUGACGGGUAGCUGGCGUGAGAGCGUGGCCAGCCACACUGGGACUGAGACACGGCCCAGACUCCUACGGGAGGCAGCAGUAGGGAAUCUUGCACAAUGGGCGCAAGCCUGAUGCAGCGACGCCGCGUGAGGGAUGACGGCUUUCGAGUUGUAAACCUCUUUCAGCGGGGACGAAGCGAAAGUGACGGUACCCGCAGAAGAAGGUCCGGCCAUCUACGUGCCAGCAGCGGCGGUAAUAC